GACGAACGCUGGCGGCGUGCUUAACACAUGCAGGUCGAACGGAAAGGCCCUGCUUUUGUGGGGUGCUCGAGUGGCGAACGGGUGAGUAACACGUGAGUAACCUGCCCUUGACUUUGGGAUAACUUCAGGAAACUGGGGCUAAUACCGGAUAGGAGCUCCUGCUGCAUGGUGGGGGUUGGAAAGUUUCGGCGGUUGGGGAUGGACUCGCGGCUUAUCAGCUUGUUGGUGGGGUAGUGGCUUACCAAGGCUUUGACGGGUAGCCGGCCUGAGAGGGUGACCGGCCACAUUGGGACUGAGAUACGGCCCCGACUCCUACGGGAGGCAGCAGUGGGGAAUAUUGCACAAUGGGCGGAAGCCCGAUGCAGCAACGCCGCGUGCGGGAUGACGGCCUUCGGGUUGUAAACCGCUUUCGCCUGUGACGAAGCGUGAGUGACGGUAAUUGGUAAAGAAGCACCGGCUAACUACGUG
rnacentral:rRNA from 1 species